rnacentral:misc_RNA from 1 species
CAUCUGCUGAUUCUGAAGGCCCAGCUCCAUUUGCUACCACAUUCCCUGCAGAUGAAGAAUGCUGCAUGCAGCCAUACAAUGGUUAUGCAUCUGAAAAGUAGUUCCAGGAACACAGACAAAAAAGGCAAUCUACCUAAAAAUUUAUUUGAGAACAGAAAAAUAAAAAGGUUUAGUUACUUCGUCUACACCAUCAAAUGUGUAUGCAAAAACCCACCAAACUUCCCAAUUUUUUUUUAUGAGGCCCAGCAGACCAAGUAACAAUUUGUCGGCUAUACAAUUGGAGGUAACCCUCUCCUUUCAAAAAACUCUCAACAAAAGGUGAUAAAUCUUAGAAUGGGUAGAUGGGAACACUGUUAUCAAAGGAGCACCUGAGGCGCAGUGCACCAGGCACAGGCAGCGUCACCUGACGGAAGGAGUGGCGCACCAAGGCAUGAAGCGCAGAAAGGUGCGCCCCAUGGAGUCCAGGCACAAGGGGAAAAAAAAAAAGUUAGGAUUUCUUUUAAAAGCCAACAGCCAGCAGUCAACCACCAAAGAAAGAAGAAGAAGAAGAAG